GUCCAUAUGCAGACCUUUACCACCCAUACCAAGACUCUGCUCAGCUUGCCCACAUGGCCAGAAAGCAUGUCGAGAUCAUCUAAAGGACGUGCUUUUGUCUAUUCUGCCAACAAACCGUCAGUUGAUACAAGCCAACAGCCUCGUAAGCGUAAGAGGUCACCUGGAUCUGCUGCCACAUGUACAGAUAAAACUGCUGGAGGAUCCAUUGCCAAGGGGCCCAACUCUGGGUCUCGUGGGUUGGCAUCGAAAGUGCAAAAAGUAUCGAUAGCCGAAUUUGAUGAUGAUGAUUUUGAUGAAGUUGGAGCAGCUGCCUUAGAUGAGUACGAACAGAGUCAGCGAAGUGUACCCCCGACAGAUACUCUUGAUACACCUACACACAGUACGAAUACAGGUAUCACUGUUCCCACCACCACCAAACAAUGUUAUUCUUAUCGGAGAGACCCGUCCACCAAUCCCUCAGCUCAAUCAGACCCUAUCCAACAAGCCAUGGACGAAUUGCGUGAGGACAACUUUACUAAGGAUGGGGAGGUGAAGGUAUUGAGGAGUGAGAAGGAUAGGCUGCUCAGUGAAUUGAGGAAACGUGAGGAGCAAAUGCGGGAGAUCCAAUCCAGGCUCACCAUUGAGAAAAAUAUUGUGCAAACACAACUGUCCAAGGAAAAAGAUUCUCUAACAGCCAAACUACAAUUUCAGGAACAGGAAAUAGUAAGCCUUCGUGAAAAAUACCUACUUUUGGAACAGCACAAAAAAUCACCAGGCACUAGCAAGCCAAUUCCUACAUCAAGACCGAUUAAGACUGCUAUAUCUAGCAAAACCUCUAGCACCACAUUCUUGUCAACAGAGAGUUUCAUGCCUCGUUCGCAGAUUAAUAGUGCUGAGGUCACUCCAGUUCAUGUCAAGCCCAAGAGAGCCAGAUCAGUAAGCCUUUCGGAUAAGAAACCAGAGGUGGUAAAGUCCAAGAAAGUUCGAGUUGCUCGCAGCCCAACCACAACGCCUUUGAACAGUCUCAGUGGAAAAACGGGAUCAAAAAACACGAAGAAUACUAGUCCCUGUAAUAAGCCCCCUGGAUCGGUCAGUGUCGACCCUUCAAUGAUCUUAAGUGUCCAGGGUAGGGAGUUGGAUGACCCUCAACUACUCAUGCUUCUAGUCAGACGUGAUCUUCUGAAGCCUCCUGUUUUUCUGAGCACUAAUGAACAAGAAGAAGCUGAACCCUCCCCAGUGGUCGUGUCAGAUAAAGACAGUCAGUCAUCUGAUGAAGAAUCCUCUCAGUCUGGCUCUGAAGACAGUCAAAACAGUAUCACUGGAUUACUCUCUCUCCUACGAGUACAGCCAAAGCCCAAAACCUUCUCUGGAUAUUCCACCUCGUUUGUUACUCCUGUCAAGGCCCUGGACAGCUCUUUAUUGUCUACCUCUGAGUCUUCUCCAUCUGCCUGCACACCUGUUAGACAAAAGAGGAUGCAGCUCUUAAAGCCACACACAUUGGCUAGAAUGGAUUUGGCCAGGCCAAGAAUGGAAAAACCUGGAAGUUCUCUAUUGCAGUCUCUCUCUGCCAACAACACUCCUAUUAACUGUGCAUAUGAUGAAAGGACAAGCUCUCUGUUUUCCAGUAUUGACAAGAAAGGCCUGGAAGUAAGUAUUGGUGCCUUGCUUCAGUCUGCUGAUCUCUCCUCUAUUUCUAGAACUACUACUGCGUGUGCCACCUCUUUUUGUCCAAAUAAGCUCCACUCAAGAAUGCUGGAGAACUCUAAUCUGCACCUACUUAUUAGGAACGUCACAGCCACUGUUUUGCAGUACCACGCAGAUCAGUCUGCAAAGGCCAAGGGCACAGCCAAUACAAGCAUCUUGGAUGGUGGCGACACUACAGACUCGAGUAUGAGCCUCGGCUCUCACAAAUCUAUUUCAAGCACUGGAUCGAGUAAAGCAAGCUCUGAGCUAUUCUCCCCUUUGAAAUGUGAUCAGCAGCUCGUUUCAAAGUUUCUUGAAAUCCUGUACACCCUUGUGAGCUACUAUCAGUGUGUGAGAGAGCAGAUUUUGUACCAACCAUCUAAGCUGAUUUUCGAUAGUCGACCGAGAUCGUCCAUAAACGUACAAGCCCCUUCAAGCACGGGAUCUUUUCUGGACAGGGAGGGAGUUGUUAGCACGAUAUUGAAACCUGCUCCUCCAGAUCUUGCUGAGGUAUCCAGGAGACUGUCCUUCAAGAGGGAUCGAUCAUGCACUCCUGACAGCCCCACAAAAGCAGAGAAUGACUAUCAAUCACAGCCUGCGGAGGGCAAGCAGUGGAAGAAACAACAGCUGUGCAACAUCAAUCACCAUAGCUGCAAUCUCUCCACUUGUGUCUGGACCCAGAAAAAGAUGACUCCUCAGAACUCCAAUGUGCUUGACCAGAGCUUCUCUUUGCCUGCCUCUCGGGUGAGGGUUAGUGAUGGAGGGGGACUGUUCAAUGUGCUGUUGGAGAUGCCAGCACCGCCAUGGCGUGAGUCAAAAAAGAACGUAGUCACAUGUUUGAAAAUCUUGAGUACUCUGGCUGAACACUGCUCCAUCGACGCUCUCCAACAGUUUUCCUCCCUGCUGGCCGAUGACGUUCUAGGCCCGUGUUUGGACAAAGAUGAUCCCGCCAUCGUCCGAGCCACUCUCUCCCUCCUUACCCACCUGGUCCGUUCCCCUGUUAUCGUAGGACUCCUCUGCAGCUGCUCCCCACCCUCUCCCUGUGUACCCGUCAACUGCUAUGACAUAUGUCUACAGACCAUGCCUGAUGAGGCUCAUAGGCAGUCGGGAUAUACUAACCAGCUCCAAGUGGUGCGACUGAUCUCUACAGCUCUGGUUGCUGACAAUGGAGUGGCUGUCCUCCUCACCUCCUCCUGUCAGUGCACUCGUGAGCUGCUCAAGACCUUUGUGUCUUUACUGAGCAACCUUUUGGACAAUGUCCAGGAUACCAGUCAGUGGACUCGGCAAGAACUGACUGUGGUACUGGAGGUGAUAUCUCUGCUACACAAGAUCAGUAUCCACGAUAAUUACUUUGACAGCCACCUGUACGAGUGUGAUCACACUUACAACUCAGUUAUGUCCUCUCUCCAUUGGUUGCUAGCCACCCACCCCACACCACUCAGAGAAGUUGCCAUGGUGACUGAUCUGCUGGAGUGUGCUGAAGAUUUGGAUGAUAGUGAAGAGAUAGACAAAAUGGACAUCCAAACUGACUGAAUGGAUGCUCUUACAUUAUAUUGUUUGAUGUACUCUGGGACCAUCCGCAGAAGACAAGCAGUAGAACUGUGCAACAUCAAUAACUGUAUACAGCUGCAAUCUCUCUACUUGUGUUUGUACCCAGAAAGAGCUAGGUUCCCCCCUGCUGGAGGAACGUUCUAGGUCUGUGUUUGGACAAAGAUGAUCCCACUGUUGUCCAUGCCACUUUCUUCCUCACCUGGUCUGCUCCCCUGUCGUCGUGGGACUCGUCUGCAUGCUCCCCGAUUACGCUCACAGGCAGUCAGGAUACAUGCACUAACCAGCUGCAAACUAAUCGAAAUACUAUACUGGCAAUUACACGUGUUUAUCAAUGCUCGAUGAGUUUUGCUAACCACUGCAUAUAAUCAUUUUAAUAAAGAAGCUUGCAGUCAUAAAAACACUAUGUACGUGUUUUUGUUAUUAUCAGUGCAUAAUAAGUACGUUUAUAUUUUAUUCAGGUGGUGUGACUGAUCGAUCUCUACAGCUCUGGUUGCUGACAAUUAAAUGGAGUGGCUGUCUUCAUCACCCCCUCCUGUCAGUGCACUCAUGAGUGUGGACAAGCUUUACAGCUUCCAGAUGAAUUGGAGCUCCUCCAUCUCGUGUUGCACUUAUUGCACUUGUACUUGGCCACCAUCUUCAUCUGCAAGCAACAGUUAUACUAGAAGUGAAGUCACUGUGUAUUAU